UGAUUACAAAUCAUUACUACUAUUAUCACAUUAAAGAAACUGAAGGCCUAAAAUAGUUUACUCUAUGGUUUUGAGAAUAAUUUACACAUUGAGAAGAUGUUUACAAAUAAUCUGAAUUCAGAUUCAAAUAAAAUUUCUCAAGAUGUAGCUGUUAAAACUGAGAAUUUAUUCGAAACUUCUAUUAAGAAUGAAAUAGAUAAAUGUGAUAAAGGCCAUGACCAAAAUAAUAUCGUAAGCGAGCCUAUUUUUAUCAAAAUUGAAUACGCUGAAGACCCAAGCUAUAUUUUACCAGAUGUAUUGAAUCCAAUUGAAGAAGACGACAAGUCGAAAUCAUGUUAUUCCUCAGAGGUAUUAUCUACAUCAAACCUAGAUAGUUGGCCUGUUCUAGAAAUACAUCCAGGGGGUGUAAUACGAAAUCAGCCUGACAUUAAUACCGAACUGUUGUAUGAAUGUGCCAAAUGUGCGAACAAAUUUCCUGAUAUGUUUCUUUUAACAAUACAUAUGAGGUGUCAUAGAGUAGAAAAAAAAGGUACGACAAGAAAUGACUUUUCGGAAAGCCCAGAAGUGUCAGAACAACAUUACUUAGAACAGAUCCCUUCUCAGGGUAAAAUAAUAAAACCAAAGAAAAAAUGUGUUAUAUGUGCCAAUGAAAACAAAGAUGGCAGCCUUAAAUUAAAAUUAGUGACGACCCAGUGUACACAAUGUGAAACUCCAUUAUGUUCAAGCUGUUUCAACAAAGUACACACUAAUAAUUAUUAAUUAUAUGCAGCCUUAAAUUAAAAUUAGUGACGACCCUGUGAACACCAUUAUGUUCAAGCUGUUUCAACAAAGUACACACUAAUAAUUAUUAAUUAUAUGCAGCCUUAAAUUAAAAUUAGUGACGACCCUGUGAACACCAUUAUGUUCAAGCUGUUUCAACAAAGUACACACUAAUAAUUAUUAAUUAUAUGCAGCACUUAUAUACUUAAGGUUGAAUUUAGUGCUCGACCGAUGGUCAGUGCUGAUGUCGGUUGAGAGUAGCUAUUACUAUGAAAACAUAUGAACGCGUCCAGUCCAGCACUGAUGAAUUGCUACGCGUCUGACGAGAAUCGUACUCGUCGUCGACGUGAUCAAAAAUCGUAAACAAAUAUUCGUAUUCUGGCAUGUUCGAAUAUGCAGUAUAAAUUUCUCCUUUAAUUUGACACUAUAAUAAUUGGGUAAGAGUGAUAUAUUCUCCGUAUUUUAUUCCGUAACUGUUUAGCCCACGCUGUACGCGCUACGCUCAACCGACGUCAGCGCCACAGUCGACGUAUUUACCAGUAUGGAAACUACCUACAAACGUUCGAAAUGACACAAAAAUGCGCAUCGAAGAGUCCCCUAAGCGGAUUUCGCGGUCUUGCAGUAGCGAGUGUCACGUUGUUAUUUAUUUCCGCGAUCUUUUUAAAAAUUCCAGCGUAUUUCGUGGUAUUCGGCUAUUUGAACUUGGCUCCAUCUAAACUCCGGUUUUUCGUAUUUUAAACUAUAAAGUAGUAUAGUAUAUAAGAAUGAUUUAUUGUAAUACAAUUAUUAUACUUAAUUAGUACUUAUAAGUCGGUGAGAUAGAUUAUAAUCAAUUCGUGAACAUAAUUCACAGACUAAGAUGGCGGCUGCAAUAUUUAUUAUCAAUUUUUUAUGAGUAUUGUUUGGUUUACGUGGAUGUUUUUUAUAUUUAUUUAUUUUGGACAAAAAAUAGUUACCUACAUGUGUUUUGUCAUAAUUUUCGUGGAUGUUGAAACCAUUACCAGCUAGUGCUGUCAAAAUGAAAAUUCAAGAUGGCGGCUGCAAAAAAUUACCAACUUUCUUCACGGGUGUCGUUUUCAUGGUUUUCGAGGGUGCUGUCAAAAUGUAAAUCCAAGAUGGCGGCCACAGGAAAUUGACAAUUUUUGUAACAUGGGUGUUGUUUUCAAGGUUUUUGAGGGUGCUCAAACUGUAAGUGCUGUCAAAAUGUAAAUCCAAGAUGGCGGCUGCAAGAAAACGAGAACUCAUUUGUCAUAGGUGUCGAUUCCAUAGUUUUUGAGGAUUUUGAUACCGAUAGUGAUGUCAAAAUGUAAAUCCAAAGUUGGAGCUACAUGAAUUUUUUUAACUUUUUUAUCAUGAGUUGUUUUUGUUUUCAUGAUUCUUGUGUUUUGAAAUAAAAAUUGUGUGGAAACUCUCGAAAUCUAGCAAAUGAUACACAUAUUGAUUUUAUACAAAUUGUCACAUCCGCCAUCUUGGAUCAUAAAAUAGAUGUCAUAUUUGUUAUUGACACUCCUGAAAACCUCGAAAUUUUAUUGAAAAAGUCAUAAUGACACCAUCUUUUAUCUUGAAAUAGAUGUUAAUUAUUGUUCUUAAUUGAAUCUCGCGAAAACGAUUAUUGCCCCGUCUAGACAUGUUCGUGGGAUGACUGCAAAGAAGAGUUUCUUAAGACUGUGGUAGAAGUGAAAUUUCAACGGACAAAGUAAUAUUUCAGCGAAAAUGUAAAGAAAAUAUUUCCGAAAAAAAAAAUGAAAAAGAACAACAUUCAAUAAAAUGUUGUUUAAAAAUAUUGCAUAAUAGUCAUCAUGUAGACUAUAAUUUUGACGACCCAUAAUAUAGCCGAAUAGUUAGUGACCCUGACUAUUAAUCCGGGCUUCGAAUACCGGUAGGUGCAAUCAUUUAUAUGAUGAAUAUAGAUGUUUGUUUCCGAGUCAUGGAUGUUUAUGUGUAUUUAUGUAUGUUUAAGUAAGUAUACUGUAUUAAAUAUAUCGUUGUCUUAUACCCAUAUGCUAUAGCAUAGGAUAUGCCUAGUUUUCGGCAAAAUAUUUUUUGUAAAAAGUGUGUCAGUAUUAUUUAUUAUAAUAUUACAUUAGACACUGUAUAGCCAUCACAUAUACAUACAUAAAAAUCUUACGCUUUUUCCUUUUUUACGCCCCACAUAGCUCCUCCUUUUUUGAAGUCGGUUAAAAAUAACAUGACAACCCUAUUGCUUCAAUGGAGUGUACGCACGUGUAGAUAAUAUGUAUUUUAUCAACAAGGCUUAGCUUCCAUACUGGUACAUAUUAUGUCUGCUGUGUCAGCGCUGACCGUCGGUCGAGCACUAAAUGCAGCCUAAUAGUUAAUACUUUGUAUUUUAUUGUCUAGACAAUUAAUUUUUGCAUAAGCAUAUAGAAAAAAUGUUUUAUAAUUUUUUAACACAACAAAUUAUUCAUAUGAAAAUAAUUAUUGUAUCUGGUAUGGUACAAUUCAAAACUUGCAUAAAUGCCCAAAGUGCCCUUUAGUGUUAAGGAUGCAAGACCCAACUGAAAGUACAGAACAUAUCAUAAACUAAAUAUACUAUGUAGCAAUAAUAAUAUUAGAAGGACACAAGUAUAAAUUAGUUAUUUAUGCAACUGUUGUGUAAUAAGGGGUAUUAAAACACGAAUGUGGAUUGUGGUGAUAAUAGUAUUACAUGAGUGUAUUAAUACCUAAUUAUCAACAGUUGCAUACAAGACUUUAUCUACAUCCAGAAUAUGAAUCCUCUAAAAGAUUCUGGAACAAACACCAGUCCUAGUAGUAACCUAAUAUCAUUCAUUACUGAUUAUAUACAAAUAAACUAAGUAUUAAUGAAACAAUUAUUUAUUUUAAAAUUCACUCGAAUAUAAUGUUCUUUUGCAGUGUUUAAAAUGAAUCGCUCAUUUUUUGUAAAAAAAAAACAAUAAAAAUAUCAAAGAAAAAUGGCGGUGAUUCGAAUAACCUACUUUUUUUUACGGCGGCCGACGUUCUGGUAGAGUGGAACGCGCGUAAACGAAAAUGUUCUUUUUUUGAAAUUCAUACAGAUACCACGCAUCGAGCAAUAAGAAUGUGGCUGUCUGUUGAAACUCUUUGCGCAUGAAGGGAUCGAAAAAAAACAUAGGAGUGUUGUUAUGAAAUUCAGUACAACAUUACAACACUCGUUUGGAUGAUGUAAUGCUUAUUAGAACAUUGGGUAUUUUAAUGUUGGCAAUAAGCUAACUGUUUCAGAAUCUUUAAAGAGGAUUUAAAGCAUGGGUGUAGAUAAAAAAUAUAAUUAUACUAUACUUACUACUUAAGAAGAAAAAAAAAGUAUCUAGUACUUUAUUUUCUUUACAUUGUAAUUUUUUAUUUAUUUAUGAAAAUUUUAUUUAUUUAUUUAAUUCACUAACUUUAAGCAAUGGAAAGGAUGUAAGAUUUUUUUUAUAUUUAUUAAGGUCUACAGUAGACAAAUGAAUGUACAAAAAAUACUGAUUUCUAUCAUAUUAUUAUUCAGUACCAUUUUGCUACUCCAUGACCACAGAGCACUGUGGUCAUAGAACCAUACCACCAUUAUAAUCAGAAUUAAUUAUCGAAAAUCACAGAUUAUGAACAGGAAUACAAAAAAAAUAUAGUAGAGAUUAAUAUCCGGACGUCAGUUAAAUGGAUACGCGAUUAUAUGAGAUAUAUGCAAGGUAUAUAUUUUAUUUGAUUUUCUUAUUAAGUAUACAUGACUUUAUCUCUUUACUUACACGGAUGCAGUUAUCUAUCUAGAAAAAAUUAUAUAAUCUAAGAUUAUGGAUUGGUCUCCGCUGCGCUCCAACUAGAUACUGCUGGCAUAGUCGCAAAGUGCGGCAACUAUUACUAAAACCCAAAUGGGGCAUACUUGUGAAUAUUCCAAGAUCGCACUGAGGUUUCAGAGCAUGAAAGACCACCUUCAAAAUUAUUUUUGGGAGUCUAGCCUUAAUAAAAUGUUCUGUUCCAUCCAUUUUUCGCAUAGAUUCUUUAUAAAAUUUAUACAUUUUUAUAAUUAUGAAUAAUUUUCGAAAUGUGGCUGCAAAAUAAAAAUAAGAAAUAUCAUUAUUGUUAUACGGUAAAUAUUAUUUAUAAGUUGUGUAAAUGAGAGAAAUUAUAUAAAAAUAAUAUAUU